AAACCAGCACCUCAAGUGGUCAGGAUGAUUAUUGGGCCUAAAGCAUCCGUAGCCUGCUCUGUAAGUUUUCGGUUAAAUCUGUACGCUCAACGUACAGGCUGCCGGGAAUACUGCAGAGCUUGGGAGUGGGAGAGGUAGACGGUACUCGGGAGGAAGUGGUAAAAUGCUUUGAUCUCUCGAUGACCACCUGUGGCGAAGGCGGUCUACCAGAACACGUCCGACGGUGAGGGAUGAAAGCUGGGGGAGCAAACCGGAUUAGAAACCCGAGUAGUCC
rnacentral:rRNA from 1 species